CCUACGGGUGGCAGCAGUGGGGAAUAUUGCACAAUGGGGGAAACCCUGAUGCAGCGACGCCGCGUGAGUGAAGAAGUAAUUCGUUACGUAAAGCUCUAUCAGCAGGGAAGAAAUACUGACCUUACGGUCAGCAGACGGUACCUGAGUAAGAAGCCCCGGCUAACUACGUGCCAGCAGCCGCGGUAAUACGUAGGGGGCAAGCGUUAUCCGGAUUUACUGGGGGUAAAGGGCGUGUAGGCGGGAAAGCAAGUCAGAUGUGAAAACCAUGGGCUCAACCUGUGGCCUGCAUUUGAAACUGUUUUUCUUGAGUGCUGGAGAGGCAGACGGAAUUCCUAGUGUAGCGGUGAAAUGCGUAGAUAUUAGGAGGAACACCAGUGGCGAAGGCGGUCUGCUGGACAGCAACUGACGCUGAGGCGCGAAAGCGUGGGGAGCAAACAGGAUUAGAUACCCGUGUAGUC
rnacentral:rRNA from 1 species